rnacentral:rRNA from 1 species
AACGAACGCUGGCGGCAUGCCUAACACAUGCAAGUCGAACGAUGCCUUCGGGCAUAGUGGCGCACGGGUGCGUAACGCGUGGGAAUCUGCCUUUCGGUUCGGAAUAACUCAGGGAAACUUGAGCUAAUACCGGAUAACGUCGCAAGACCAAAGAUUUAUCACCGAAAGAUGAGCCCGCGUAGGAUUAGCUAGUUGGUGAGGUAAAGGCUCACCAAGGCGACGAUCCUUAGCUGGUCUGAGAGGAUGAUCAGCCACACUGGGACUGAGACACGGCCCAGACUCCUACGGGAGGCAGCAGUGGGGAAUACUGGACAAUGGGCGAAAGCCUGAUCCAGCAAUGCCGCGUGAGUGAUGAAGGCCUUAGGGUUGUAAAGCUCUUUUACCCGGGAAGAUAAUGACGGUACCGGGAGAAUAAGCCCCGGCUAACUCCGUG